AGCGUAUCGAUUACUGGCGUAAAGCGCACGCAGGCGGUUUGUAAGCUAGAUGUGAAAGCCCGGGCUCAGCCUGGGAUGGUCAUUUAGAACUGGCAGACUAGAGUCUUGGAGAGGGGAGUGGAAUUCCAGGUGUAGCGGUGAAAUGCGUAGAGAUCUGGAGGNANANCAUCAGUGGCGAAGGCGACUCCCUGGCCAAAGACUGACGCUCAUGUGCGAAAGUGUGGGUAGCGAACAGGAUUGGAUACCCUGGUAGUCCACACCGUAAACGCUGUCUACUACCUGUGUGUGUAUUUUAUACGUGCGUAGCGAAGCUAACGCGCUAAGUAGACCGCCUGAGGAGUACGGCCGCAANGGUUAAAACUCAAAUGAAUUGACGGGGGCCCGCACAAGCGGUGGAGCAUGUGGUUUAAUUCGAUGCAACGCGAAGAACCUUACCUACACUUGACAUGCAGAGAACUUUCUAGAGAUAGAAUGGUGCCUUCGGGAACUCUGACACAGGUGCUGCAUGGCUGUCGUCAGCUCGUGUCGUGAGAUGUUGGGUUAAGU
rnacentral:rRNA from 1 species